rnacentral:rRNA from 1 species
AUUGAACGCUGGCGGCAUGCCUUACACAUGCAAGUCGAACGGUAACGGGCCUUCGGGUGCCGACGAGUGGCGAACGGGUGAGUAAUGUAUCGGAACGUACCUUUCAGUGGGGGAUAACGUAGCGAAAGUUACGCUAAUACCGCAUAUUCUGUGCGCAGGAAAGCAGGGGACCUUCGGGCCUUGCGCUGAUUGAGCGGCCGAUAUCAGAUUAGCUAGUUGGGGAGGUUAAGGCUCACCAAGGCGACGAUCUGUAGCGGGUCUGAGAGGAUGAUCCGCCACACUGGAACUGAGACACGGUCCAGACUCCUACGGGAGGCAGCAGUGGGGAAUUUUGGACAAUGGGGGCAACCCUGAUCCAGCCAUGCCGCGUGAGUGAAGAAGGCCUUCGGGUUGUAAAGCUCUUUCGGCCGGGAAGAAAUCGUAUCAGCUAAUACCUGGUGCGGAUGACGGUACCGGCAUAAGAAGCACCGGCUAACUACGUGCCAGCCGCCGCGGUAAGAC